rnacentral:rRNA from 1 species
AGUGAACGCUGGCGGCAGGCCUAAUACAUGCAAGUCGAACGACAGCACAGUGGAGCUUGCUCCAUGGGUGGCGAGUGGCGGACGGGUGAGGAAUACAUGGGAAUCUGCCCAGUCGUGGGGGAUAACGUAUGGAAACGUACGCUAAUACCGCAUGCGCCCUUCGGGGGAAAGUCGGGGACCGCAAGGCCUGACGCGAUUGGAUGAGCCCAUGUUCGAUUGGCUAGUUGGCGGGGUAACGGCCCACCAAGGCGACGAUCGAUAGCUGGUCUGAGAGGAUGAUCAGCCACACUGGAACUGAGACACGGUCCAGACUCCUACGGGAGGCAGCAGUAGGGAAUAUUGGACAAUGGGCGCAAGCCUGAUCCAGCCAUGCCGCGUGAGCGAUGAAGGCCGUCGGUCGUAAAGACUCUGUGGGAGGAGACGAAGAAAGACUCGUGAGAGCAGGCUU